UACAGAGGGGGCCAGCGUUAUUCGGAAUUAUUGGGCGUAAAGGGCGCGUAGGCGGCUUUGCGUGUCUUUCGUGAAAUCCCUCGGCUCACUGAGGACGUGCGGAAGAAACUGCAGGGCUGGAGUCCGGGAGAGGAGGGUGGAAUUCCCAGUGUAGCGGUGAAAUGCGUAGAUAUCUGGAGGAACAUCGGGUGGCGAAGGCGGCAUCCUGGACCGAUAUUGACGCUGAGGCGCGAAAGCCAGGGGAGCAAACGGGG
rnacentral:rRNA from 1 species